GAUGAACGCUGGCGGCGUGCCUAAUACAUGCAAGUCGAGCGAACAGACGAGGAGCUUGCUCCUCUGACGUUAGCGGCGGACGGGUGAGUAACACGUGGAUAACCUACCUAUAAGACUGGGAUAACUUCGGGAACCCGGAGCUAAUACCGGAUAAUAUAUUGAACCGCAUGGUUCAAUAGUGAAAGACGGUUUUGCUGUCCCUUAUACAUGGAUCCGCGCCGCAUUAGCUAGUUGGUAAGGUAACGGCUUACCAAGGCAACGAUGCGUAGCCGAUCUGAGAGGAUGAUCGGCCACACUGGAACUGAGACACGGUCCAGACUCCUACGGGAGGCAGCAGUAGGGAAUCUUCCGCAAUGGGCGAAAGCCUGACGGAGCAACGCCGCGUGAGUGAUGAAGGUCUUCGGAUCGUAAAACUCUGUUAUUAGGGAAGAACAAAUGUGUAAGUAACUAUGCACGUCUUGACGGUACCUAAUCAGAAAGCCACGGCUAACUACGUG
rnacentral:rRNA from 1 species